UGGUAAUGGACCUACAGGGGAUCAAUAACAGUGUGAUACCACACUGACUGGAGGAUGGUAAUGGACCUACAGGGGGUCAAUAACAGUGUGAUACCACACUGACUGGAGGAUGGUAAUGGAC